rnacentral:lncRNA from 1 species
NNNNNNNNNNNNNNNNNNNNNNNNNNNNNNNNNNNNNNNNNNNNNNNNNNNNNNNGUGUUCUGGCUGAGCACGAGCACCGGACGAUGGCCCAUCAUGGCGGCGCGAUGCAGAGCCCGGUACCCAGCGCUGGGGCGACCGGCAGAACCUUCUGGAGAGAGAGAAGCAGAGAGAAGCUGAUCUAAUUUUUUUAAGUAUUCACCGAUUUCCCUUCCUGAAGUUUUUCCUCUGGGACUUGCCACCUUCCACAUGUGGUUGAGAUCUGAGGUUGCCUACCUACAAAAGACUUCAGCUCCAGGCUUAACAAAUGGGACAUCAAAGAAGCAUUUUAUAAAGAUCUUUUUCCAGGUUGGUAUUCUUUAAUGGUGAAGCUCCUACUGUAAAUAUUCCAGGCCAUUUGGAAUUUUUUUAUUUGUUUGAUGGGGUUGUGGUUUUAGUUUUGGUGGCAUUUUUUUAAUUGGGAUUUUUUUUUAUCAGCUAUUAUGGCCAUAUUUUUCAAUUCAUACUGUAGGUCAUGGAAUAAUAAUAUUCAUAAUAAUGAACUAAAGCACUCUAAAAGCUUGAGUUAUUUGCUGCCUUAUUACAAAUGAAAACUCUGCCCAUGGGGAACUUAUAUUUUAGUAGGAAGGAGCAAAGAAUAAAAAAUGUAUAAAUAAAUGGUAGUAAGAAUCUAUUGGCCUACUUCUUCCGACCAUGGAGAGAAUGAACACCAACUUAGAAAGGCAUUGAAAGAAAUGAAAAAAAGAUAGAGCAUGUUUCUUGAAAUGAGUGAAUGAAUGACACAACAGGUAUAUCAUAACAUAACAUCUGGACAACAGGGAACGAGCUGACUCUCCCUGUGACUGUCCACCCUAGCGCUUCUUUUCUCAGAGCUUGUAUCACAGCUUCCCAGGAACACCCUUGCCUGCAUCUGGUUUAGACGGGCUUGAUUCCCACCCUGAGCUGUUUUCUCUCCCUUAGCCUGAACACAGAUUCUCUAAUUAUCCACAAAGGCAUUAAAACUGCAUUCGGUUUAUUUAUGCUCUCUUCUCUGUGACGGAAAGGAGACUUCCCUAUUGACUGGGAUCAUUAGAAACACCUCAGGGAGACAAGGACACAUUAUGUCCUCCUGUGUGUAAAGUGGAUUUACCGGAAGCCUCCGGGGAGCCAUGUUUAUAUGCGUAGUUCCUGUUCUAGAAGGGCAACUCUCUGCAGUGUUUAUAG